AUUUCAUACAUUUCUAUGGUGUAGUAUAAUUUUUUUUAUGCAUAGAAAAGUUGGAGGUGUUGGGAAAAGCACUGUCACAUCUUUCAAGUUUGUAAAGUUCCUCUUCAGCAUGAAUUAUCACCAUGUCUCUUAAGAACUGAGAACUUGUGGCUGGGCAUGGAUGCUCAUGACUGUAAUCCCAGCAUUUUAGGAGGCCAAGGUGUGUGAAUCACAGUUGGAGACCAGCCUGUUAAAUAUGGCAAAACCCUGUCUCUACCAAAAAUACAAAAAUUAGUUGGGCAUGGUGGUGGAGGCUGAAGCAGGUUAAUGGCUUGAACCAGGAG
rnacentral:lncRNA from 1 species